rnacentral:lncRNA from 1 species
ACUAUCUCCCGGGUGAACGGAGCUUUCGCAGCUGGAGAAGCUCCCAGGAUCCAUCCAAACACCCAGAACCCUCCCACCUGUCCCUCCUCUCUCCCUCACCUGCCAGGGGACGGACAGCUGCCCUGAGCCUUCACACAGUGUUCCUCUACUCAGAAGUGCCUGUCCCCACUUCUCUGCCCUGCAGUCUGUCAUCUGGAUCGAGGCCAUCAGAUAACCUGAGUGUCACUCCUCCUGGAUGGUACUUACAUGUCCUUUGCCAAGAGGAGCAGCCAGAAUAAAAUCACCAGUUCCUAGGCUCUUAGGCUCCACCCGGCCCUGAACAGCUGGCUUGUCUUGGAGUCUCUUGUGCCACCCUCCCCAGGAACAGUGGCUUCCUUGUAUUGGCGCCAGCGAUGAUGGGCCAGCUCUGUGCUAAGUACUUAACUUACCAUUCCUGGUGUCAGCCCCACAAGUCUCCUCUGAGAUAGCAACCUUAUUUCGACUUUUUUUUUUUUUUUUUUUUUGAGACGGAGUCUUGCUCUGUUGCCCAGGCUGGAGUGCAAUGGUGCGAUCUCGGCUCACUGCAGUCUCCGCCUCUUGGGUUCA